GAAGAAUAAUUAUUUCUUAGCAUGUACAGCGUUUUGAGCAAGUAGCCAGAUCACAAACCGUAAAGGGACUUCGUAUUGUCAAGUCAAGUAUAGUAUAUUUAUAUAGCGCUUUUUACAAUAUAGAUUGCAUCAAAGCAGCUUCACAGUAUCAAUCAAAACAUAAUAACAAUGUUCGUUUCUUAGUGGAAAAACAUCCACGUUUGGUAGAGCUGAUCAAUGGUAUUAUUGAUUGGUUAAUUAAUUUGAAUAUCCCCAACUGAGCAAGCCAAAGGCAACAGUGGCAAGGAACCGAAAAACUCCAUCAAGUGACCCAAUGGAGAAAAAAAAACCUUGGGAGAACCCAGGCUCAGUCGGGGCCAGUUCUCUUCUGGCGUUUAAUAACUAGAGGCCGGAUUUACUGUAACUGUAAGGUAAAAAUGUAUAUGAAUGUCUCUAAACAGACUUUAAACGCGAACCUGUGAUAAACGCUGAUGGCGUUCACAUGCGCAUUAAGAAUUGAUUCUAUAGUUAUGUGCGUUUGAAUAUAUGUGCGCAGGUUUGUAAUUACCUCAUGCCUGAACAAACUACUU